rnacentral:lncRNA from 1 species
CAGGUGGUGUGGGGAUGAUGUGCUCAUUGAGUGAACAAGGGAAGCAGCUAGCUAUCCAGGUGUCUAAUAUCCUGGGGAUGGAUGUGUGUGGCAUUGACCUGUUGAUGAAAGAUGACGGCUCCUUCUGCGUCUGUGAGGCCAAUGCAAAUCCUUUUCAGGAGCCAAAAAAACAAAUACAAACAAACAAAAAAAUACCCAGAGAAAAAACUUUCCUUCUUCCCCCUUCCUGAUGAUGAGUGAGAAGUAUUGAGAACUUUCGGGGUCAGUGCCCUUCUAAACUCCCCUUCCCCCAAUAAUGCAGCUGUAUAAUGAAUGGUAAAUGCACCGGUUUGGAUUCAGGCACAGCCCCAGUCUGCCUGCAGCAGACAACUAAACUGGUAGGUGGCAGCAGAGGAAGGAAUUCUUCAGAUUGAUGGCUACUGACUUAAAGUCUGCAUAGGAGAAGAGAUAGAGCAUGACAUACCAAGUGAAGCAAGGGGGACAAAAAUGGAAACAGGAGUAAGAUUCCUGCAUUUUGACUCUAAAUGAAUGGAUGAAGAUAGAUUUGACUGUGUGCUUUUUCAAGUGGAGAAUAUGAAUAUACAGAACAAGAAAGCAAUAACUCCAACCUGUUUGAUUCCGUCUGUUUUCUAAAUAAAGAAAGACACCAUGCACU